rnacentral:tRNA from 1 species
UCCCUGGUGGCUAAUAUGGUAAAAGAAUCUGCCUGUAAUGCAGGAGGCCGGGUUCGAUCCCUGGGUAGGGAA